GAGGCCCGGACAGGGCGGGCGGCGCCGGGGCGGCGGAGCCCCCUCACGGGGCGGCCCCUUCCCCCGCGCGGCAGGCGCCAGCCGCGCCCGCUGAUUGGUCGGCGGGCGCUCCACAUGCGGCGGCCCGCCUCGGCCGUUGGCCCCGACACACGUCACGACCCCCGCAAGCCCCGCCCGGCCGCGCCGGUGCGGAACCGGGCGCUCGGCGCCUCGAGGUCUAACUUAUGGUGCCAGCAUUGCCUAAGCCCUGCCUACUCCACUGCAAAAGAUGGAGACAACAGCCAUGGGAGCUGGUGCUGGAAACUUCAUCAGUAUAGCUCAAAGUGCUUCUCAGAGAAGGUGGCAACACUAGAGCUGAAGGCCCAGGAAAGAUCCACAAUCAUCUCUGUGGAGCUGGCUACAUAACUUGUUAGAGCAAAUGGGAGACUUCAAGUGGCUGAGCCAUACACACUAUAGAUAGGAAAAGUGCAGCCCCUCAGACCUGUUUUCUCCCUGUUAAGGCUAUAUGUUAUAGAGAGGUGGCAAUAGCUGCUGCAGAAAGACAGGCUGCAGCUUUGAAAAGCAUCAACCUCCGAAGAAAUACAACACUGGUCCAAAUUACCAGGGAUGCUUUGAAGAAUGGAUCAUUUUUCAAAUCACCAGAACAUGCAGGGGAAAAAUAAAGGAGACUGCCAAGCUGAAAAGGCAGAGAGAUGGACACACUAGGUGACACAGACAACUGCUCUGAAUAUGGUUAGUCUCAAUUAAAAUGAGAAACUCCCUCUCCCAGUUAUCAAAAACUGUUCCAAAAAGGUAGUUGCCAACAAUCCGGUGGCUCCAGGACAGUUACCUUCCAAAACUAAUUGGUCAUCGUCUUCGUCCUUUACAAGCUUCCUGCUGUCAUUUUUUUCUGCAGCCCCUGUGAGGUUUAUCCCCCAAAUGAUUUGUUCCCCCCACUUUGAAAAUAUAUGACUGACUGGACUGUUCUGCAACUAUUAGUGAGGGGCAGCUGCUUGUAGCCCUGGCUCUGACCCAUACAGGGACCAGGCAGAAGGCCUGGUGAUGGCACUCACAAACUCAUCCCUCCGAAGGCACCAGAACAGAAAGACCCACGUGUCAGGUAGAGGAAUCCGCCAGAACUAAACAGAUCAGAUAGAAGAUGCACACACAAAAAGCUGCUUUACUUUUCAGUCCUCACUGCCUGAGCUAUUUCCAUUCCAUCUCCCACCCCACCAUCUCGAAACAACCAUCAACAGUCCACACCCCCCACUGCUUGACAACUACAGCCAGUUACAGGAGGCUGCAUCUUCUGUGGAGAAUACAAGAGGCAAGAAGGGGUGUCAUGUGCUACAGCUACAGAUCUGCUCAUGGUGAUAAAGCUCCUUGAGGCAGUCAACGGACAAGAUGAGCAGUGCAUCCUCUGUUAAAACGUCAUCCUCAAUGCACACACUGAUGCCAGGGGAUCUCUCUCUGUCAUUGUCGGGUCUGUAAAUGUCUGAAAGAAAGGGGGGAAUUAAAACCCUCUCAAAGACACUUCAGAGCAACACCUUUCCAUUACUGCACAGUCAUGAGAGGAGGGCUUGGCCUUCCAAGGCUGUCAGGAGCAGAGAGGAAAAGAAAAAGAAGCAGGGGGUGUUCCUUUUCUAAGUGCUUACAAACCUCAAGUAUACAGCUAUAGAAGUCUUGCUGCUGUCUUUCUGUGCUUUGCCCUCUCAGUGCUGCUCACAUAAGGUAUGAUUUCAAUGGUGUCUAAGCAGCAGCAAGUAGGAAUUACCUGGUAUGUGAGACUAGUUCCCGUUCAGUGGUUGCAAACCAACAAGUAAAAAUCAGGCAUGUUUUGUUGCUUUUUAAGAAUUGCAGGGCUAGUGGCACUCUAUUUGCUGAUGCCACUGAAAACAUCUGAAUUGGCUAAGUCUGGAUUUCCAGCACCCUUUGCUUUUUUGGAUGCCCAAACCACCAAACAGCUUUCGUAAGUUCAUAAUUGGGGUAAAACUGGAUCUGUGGUCUUUCUGCAUCGCCACAAAAUUUCUCAAAGUUCACAAAGUAAGCAGAAAACCUCCCAUCAAGGCUCUGCAGCACCCCCCAGCUCAUCCAGAGUGCUUGGCAUAGUAAAGCUGAAUUCAAAGAACAGAGCCAGAGGGGUAGAUUAAGCAACAUAUAGCAUAUAUUUUGGGACCAGACUAUGCUUGGUUUCUGUAUAAACCCAUAUGCCUUGCUGCUAUGCAUAUUUUCCAGGUGAUGGGUACAUGAUGCCCCAUAUAGUAUCACUGCUUUGCAAUCCAUCACUGAAACUUCAUGGGAGAGAUGGGGCCUCCUGCCCCAAAUAACCCAGAUGAGAUUCUGAGAGAGAAGCAGGUUCUAGCAUUUCAUGGGAUGGUGACUAACUGUUGCUCUCCCAUUCCCCUGGCAUUUCACCUAGAGCUGCUUAAUAACUGGCAGAUAAAAUAACACACAACCAUGACCCAAAACAAGCCUGCAGAUGAAUUAGGUGCUUGCAGAAACCAUGAUACUUAAUGGCUAUACCCAAUCUACUGCAGACAGCCUUUCCCCACACACAGAGGAGCAGCACAGUCAUCUUUUGUAACAUACCAUCUGGGAGCACAGUUGUAGGCUCAAGAAAUAAUGCUGUCCACACAGUGGAGCCCCACACCAUGCCUAACUAUCAGUAGCAGCUGAUACUGAGAAAUGUGAUUAGGAUAGAAGGUUCCCAGUGCAUUACAGUCAAGAUGUUGGGCUGAUUUCACUUUGCUUCAAAAGAGGGUUUGAAUCCAUCUUAUCUAUGUGUUAACACUCCUCUCCACCCCUAUCCUAAUCCUCUCCCCCUAAGGUGCUCCACCUAAGCAGAAAUCAAACAAGUAAUCCCAUCUCGCCUCUCAUAGUCUUAGGCACAGAGCUGCAGAUGCUGGUCUCAUCUGGCUGUGCUGCCACCUCCUGAGAGAAACAAGCAUCAUGGCCUCCACUCAGAGAGGACAUGUUCUGCAGCCAGACUUACAGCCUGUGCUGAGGUCCAGAGGACCCAGAUCUCUCCAAGCUGCCCACAGCCUGAGGGUACAAGAGGUGGUGGGCCCAAGAGUGACCAGCUGCAGCAUGGCCUCCUCUUUUAUUCACAAGGCUGAAGAAGUGGCAGGAGUAUGAAACCGUCUACAGCAACCAAGAAAAAUGCAUGUGUGGGAGAGUGAAGGCUUGAGAGAGAAAGAAGAGUCCUGCUUUAACCUGAGAUGAGAUCCUGAAGAGAUGUCAGAGAGAAGGACUGAGAUAGCGACUUGGAGAGAAGAUGGCAAGUCUUUUGUAGAGAAUAACAGGAAAAUGAUAGCAGGGGAGCGAUUGUUUUUUAACCUGAAAACAGACAGCUGACAUCCCAGAAGACAUGCGUGUGGUGACAAGAGGCUAUGGGAUAGCCUAAGGGCAGGAGACAGCACCACUAACUGCACUCAAGGCAUCAUUUGAUUACCAGAUCACAUUCUGGAUCUUCUCCUUGCUUGUACAAAGUUUUCAAAGUGCCUUUUAUCCUUUUAAGAAGGAUGUGAAAAAGGAGAAUGUUACGAGAGCUCAAAACAAGUAGUUAUAUGCUUCUACUAUUGCAUAUAAGCAACACUAGAAAAUUUGCCAGGCUAAUUAACAGUAGCUAGGAAAAAAACACAGGAAUAACCAAAGUAGUAACACAAGCUUGCCUGCAUGUGAAUCAAUGAACUCCUACUGAUUUGGGAAAUCCAUGUACAUUCAAUAACACGGGGAGAGGCAGUUCCAGACUGGUGUGUGGGAGACACUAAAACACUGUUUACAGAUAUUCUUAUCUCUACAACUUCUCUCUGAUAGUCUUGAAUGUGGCAGAGCCACAGGGAGGGAAUAAGCACUGAAUCAGAAAAACAAAAUCUACAAGUGAGGUCUGGAAACUACAUCAGCUGAGUCAAAGGUUUUGAUCCUGUUUGAAAGAAGGUGAGAACCAUGAAGCUACAGCUUUGAAUUUGUCUUCCCUCAUGAAUUCUUUGUCCUUUUUUUUUGAAAAAUAUAGCAACCCAAAGGUAUUCCUCCAAAGAUCCCUUCUAACUGAAUGAAGUUCCUAACUGCAGGCCAUGUACUAGACAAAAUUCAUUAGCCUUUAGCUUCCUCCUCUGGCUCAGUAAGAGAGAUGCUGCUAUUACUAAAGACAUUUUGUUGAAGCCCCUGACGAGCAGAGUGGUAGUCAUGACAAAGACACUAUUUGGCAGUUGAAGACUGUAAAAAUCCAAAUCCAAGAUUUUUUUUUUCGUUAGUGAAGAUGGAGUUAAGAUGUGAUUCAGGGGCAAAAAAAGAGCUGAUGUUACAUUGUUUCAUCUUGCCAAAACACACAGACAUGGGAGAGAGAAAUUAGAUGGCCCCAAGACAUGACAAACAAAGAUGCAAAAAUACAUGGAUAUUACCACAGAAGACAAGAGCUAGGGAGCCAGCCAGCAGUCUCCUGCCUGCCAUCCCAGCAUAAACAGGAAAGAAACAUUGCGAUACCUAACCCAGCAUAAACAGGAAAGAAACAUUGCGAUACCUAACCCAGGUAGUUCUCAGGAAACAGAAUUUCAGAUAUUUCUGGUAUUUAACUGCUCUUUCUAUUAUUGAUGCCCAGAUAAAGACAACAUACCUGGUUUAGCCUUACUUUGGACUCCACUGUAAACUUCAUUAAGUCAUCGAGGUCUGUGAAUUUAUCCCACAAGAGAUGGCCUGCCUGCCACUUCUGUACUGAAUAAUAAAAUAAAUAAAUGAUUGGAUUUCUUUGCUGAGUGGGUUCAAAUACCUUAAAAGUAUCUCACUA